ACAGCAUCCAGGGGAGUCAAGGGCAUGGGGCGAGACCAGACUAGGCGAGGCGGGCGGGGCGGAGUGAAUGAGCUCUCAGGAGGGAGGAUGGUGCAGGCAGGGGUGAGGAGCGCAGCGGGCGGCGAGCGGGAGGCACUGGCCUCCAGAGCCCGUGGCCAAGGCGGGCCUCGCGGGCGGCGACGGAGCCGGGAUCGGUGCCUCAGCGUUCGGGCUGGAGACGAGGCCAGGUCUCCAGCUGGGGUGGACGUGCCCACCAGCUGCCGAAGGCCAAGACGCCAGGUCCGGUGGACGUGACAAGCAGGACAUGACAUGGUCCGGUGUGACGGCGAGGACAGAGGAGGCGCGUCCGGCCUUCCUGAACACCUUAGGCUGGUGGGGCUGCGGCAAGAAGCGGGUCUGUUUCUUUACUUCCUCCACGGAGUCGGCACACUAUGGCUGCCCUCUGGGCUCCCAGAACCCACAACAUGAAAGGUGAAGCUAGAGGAACCAGACCUCAUCAGCCCAACAUCAAAGACACCAUCGGAACAGCAGCGCCCGCAGCACCCACCCCGCACCGGCGACUCCAUCUUCAUGGCCACCCCCUGCGGCGGACGGUUGACCACCAGCCACCACAUCAUCCCAGAGCUGAGCUCCUCCAGCGGGAUGACGCCGUCCCCACCACCUCCCUCUUCUUCUUUUUCAUCCUUCUGUCUCUUUGUUUCUGAGCUUUCCUGUCUUUCCUUUUUUCUGAGAGAUUCAAAGCCUCCACGACUCUGUUUCCCCCGUCCCUUCUGAAUUUAAUUUGCACUAAGUCAUUUGCACUGGUUGGAGUUGUGGAGACGGCCUUGAGUCUCAGUACGAGUGUGCGUGAGUGUGAGCCACCUUGGCAAGUGCCUGUGCAGGGCCCGGCCGCCCUCCAUCUGGGCCGGGUGACUGGGCGCCGGCUGUGUGCCCGAGGCCUCACCCUGCCCUCGCCUAGUCUGGAAGCUCCGACCGACAUCACGGAGCAGCCUUCAAGCAUUCCAUUACGCCCCAUCUCGCUCUGUGCCCCUCCCCACCAGGGCUUCAGCAGGAGCCCUGGACUCAUCAUCAAUAAACACUGUUACAGCAA
rnacentral:lncRNA from 1 species